rnacentral:rRNA from 1 species
GACGAACGCUGGCGGCGUGCUUAACACAUGCAAGUCGAACGGAAAGGCCCUGCUUUUGUGGGGUGCUCGAGUGGCGAACGGGUGAGUAACACGUGAGUAACCUGCCCUUGACUUUGGGAUAACUUCAGGAAACUGGGGCUAAUACCGGAUAGGAGCUCCUGCUGCAUGGUGUGGGUUGGAAAGUUUCGGCGGUUGGGGAUGGACUCGCGGCUUAUGAGCUUGUUGGUGGGGUAGUGGCUUACCAAGGCUGUGACGGGUAGCCGGCCUGAGAGGGUGACCGGCCACAAGGGGACUGAGAGACGGCGCAGACGCCUACGGGAGGCAGCAGUGGGGAACAUUGCACAAUGGGCGGAAGCCUGAUGCAGCAACGCCGCGUGCGUGAUGACGGGCUUCGAGGUGUAAACAGAUUUCGAAUGUGACGAAGCGUGAGUGACGGUAAUGGGUAAAGAAGCACCGGCUAACUACGUG